UAUGUCCAAUGGCAGGCCCCUCAAUAAAUGGCAAUUCAGUGGCCCAUCAUCCAUGGCCAGUUCGCCACUGCCCCUUCCCCCCUCUUCAAAACCACCAGCCCUAGCUCCCCAUCUCCAUCUCCUUCAGCAGCCAGUUGCCCAGCUCUUCUCCUUCGCCUAGGAGUAUAUCUUAACCCCAUCUUCUUCUAGCUUCUUGCUUCCACUGUGUCCAUCCAUGGCGAAGUAGCUUCACCGGCCUUUUGCUGGUGGGUUUGUUUGGACUUCAUGUCCUGGUUGAAGUUAGGUUAAGGGGGUUGUUGUCUGGUUCAAGGUCUCCACAUACAUCAUAUACAUGGAGAGCAUGAUAUGGAUUGUAUGAUUUGGUGACCUCGGACCAGGCUUCAAUCCCUUUAACCAGCAUCUGCACAAUUCGCACGCCUCAUGCAUAUGAUAGUUCCAGCGGCGGUGGUUUGCUUCUAAGGUGCAGAUUUGUCUUUCAUCCAUUGAUUAGCGCAGGCUGUAUUUGUUUCUGGGAGCUGCGCAGAUUUGUUCAUACAGUAGACUUUCAUUCUCAUAUGUUGUCCAGCAUGAAGCCAUGACCAGGCAUACAGUAAACUUGCAAUCCAUGCGCAUAAAUGCACUAGGCUAGCUAGGUAGCAUGUUCAUGUGAGAAACGAUGUAGAAGAGCUAGCAGCAAAGAUGAACUGUGUGUGGACGUGUGGUGUGAAUUUCUUCUCCCAUUUCAUCUUCCACAUAUGCACGGAUGCACCCCAUGCUUCCAGUCAACUUGCAUUUGUGCAUUGGCGUCAAACAAAUCUUAGCCAUGCAUGUUUACAUCAGUAGUACAAGAAAACGACACACCUAUAUAUUAUACAGCUAGCACAUGUUCGUUUUCAUGCUGGCAGUGAAAAUGCUCUUUGGCAAAACUACUCCACAAUAAUGCAUGCAAAUUACUACAACUAAUCCUGGAAGAAGCUAGCUGCUAGGGUGGAGUAUGGAUCGAUUAUUAGGGACAGGAACUGACCAAGCAUUUAAGCAGGACUGGCUCGACACUCAUGUAUGACAAAGGAAUGGGGAAUGGCUGGCCAGGCUCAUUACUUGGCUCACGUGGCUGCUGUGAGAGAGAUGCCAUGCACAGUACUGCUCCUCUUGUUGCAUCUGAACGGCGUGCGAUCGGUUGAUCCCAUUCGCUGCCUGUUCUCUCUGGGAGUUUUGUUCCAUCCGUCUGCAAAUCGCAGAACUACGUAGUCGUACCCAUGCUGGUGGCCUUGUGCAUUAACUUUUGUAUGCAGGUUGAAGCGCUUCUCGUGACAGUUAGGAGAGUAGAUUGGUCACCAAAUUGUUUUUACCAUUAUAUUUUAAGUUCUAAUUUUAAAAUACAUAGGAAUCUGAUAACGCCUCAAGUACGAGACAUGGCAGAUCCAACAUUUUCGACGGAAAGUUUAGUGACGCGAGGAUGACAACUUUAGUUGGCAAGCAUGGCAACUUCAUGCUUCGGUUUAUUUUUUCACGGAAAAUUGCCGUGUAUGUCAAUUAACAUGCCAUCCUUGCGUCACUAGAGUUGCCAUCGUAAACAUUCAAUCUGACAUGUGCUCAUAUAUGAUGUCAGGUACUUAGCAUUUCCGAAUAUAUAAUCAUGCAAAAAUAUGUGAUCAAAUUAAUGGUACAACCGAUAAUGCAUUUUGUAGACCGGAAUGGUUUAGCUUAAUUAUAUAUCCACUCCAACAUUAUAGUGCAUCUAGCUCACCAUAUAUACCCUCAGUAUAUGGAGUGAGUCGAACUAUUCUAUAAGUUUUAGCAUAUAGUGUAGAUUAUCUUGUUUACAUUGUGUAGCAUAAAUAUUACUUGGAGUAGUACUAUCUUUUACAAUGGCACCUUUGCAAUGUUUUGCUUCCACUUGCAGAGCUAGCGUCCAAUGUUCAUGUCACUGAUCAAAUUAAUUGAUACACAUGUGAUGUAUACAGUAUAUUGCUUGGAACAAGCGAUGACAGUUCAUGCAUGACACAGACGGGCACAUGCGUUGACAUUGAUCUGUUGCAUCGUAGUAUUAUUAUUAGUCUUCUGCAGUAGCUAAUUCAUGACAAAACUUAAUUGCCUAAGGCAAACUGGUGGUACCUCCAAUCAAGCUAACUCAUCAAACCGACAUGGAAAUAGAUACGGUAUCAUUGCUCAAUUAA